rnacentral:rRNA from 1 species
GGCGUGCUAACACAUAGCAAGUCGAACGGAUACUGUAUUGUAAACCUAACGUAGAUAUACAGGUUAGUGGCGGACGGGUGAGUAACGACGUGGAGUAACCUAGCCGUAUACCGGGGGAGUAACACUUAGAAAUAGGUAGCUAAUACCGCAUGAGCGCACAGCUCCGCAUGGAGCGGUGUGAAAAACUACCGGUGGUAUACGAUGGAUCCGCGUCUGAUUAGCCAGUUGCGGGGGUAACGGCCCGACCCAAAGCGACGAUCAGUAGCCGGCCUGAGAGGGUGAACGGCCACAUUGGGACUGAGACACGGCCCAGACUCCUACGGGAGGCAGCAGUGGGGAAUAUUGCACAAUGGGGGGAAACCCUGAUGCAGCGACGCCGCGUGAGUGAAGAAGUAUCUCGGUAUGUAAAGCUCUAUCAGCAGGAAAGAUAAGGACGGUACCUGACUAAGAAGCCCCGGCUAACUACGUG